rnacentral:rRNA from 1 species
UACGUAGGCAGCAAGCGUUGUUCGGAAUUACUGGGCGUAAAGAGUGUGUAGGCGGUGCUCUAAGUUCGGUGUGAAAUCUCCCGGCUCAACUGGGAGGGUGCGCCGGAAACUGGGGUGCUGGAGCGCGGGAGAGGAAAGCGGAAUUCCUGGUGUAGCGGUGAAAUGCGGUAGAAUAUCAGGAGGAACACCGGCGGUGUGAGACCGGCU